CGGGGGGGGCAAGCGUUGUUCGGAAUUACUGGGCGUAAAGGGCUCGUAGGCGGCCAUCUAAGUCAGACGUGAAAUCCCUCGGCUUAACCGGGGAACUGCGUCUGAUACUGGAUGGCUUGAGUUUGGGAGAGGGAUGCGGAAUUCCAGGUGUAGCGGUGAAAUGCGUAGAUAUCUGGAGGAACACCGGUGGCGAAGGCGGCAUCCUGGACCAAUACUGACGCUGAGUGAGCGAAAGCCAGGUGAGCAAACGGGAUUAGAUACCCCGGUAGUCCUGGCCCUAAACGAUGAAUGCUUGGUGUGACGGGUAUCGAUCCCUGUCGUGCCGAAGCUAACGCAUUAAGCAUUCCGCCUGGGGAGUACGGUCGCAAGGCUG
rnacentral:rRNA from 1 species